rnacentral:rRNA from 1 species
AACGAACGCUGGCGGCAUGCCUAACACAUGCAAGUCGAACGAGAUCUUCGGGUCUAGUGGCGCACGGGUGCGUAACGCGUGGGAAUCUGCCCUUUGGUUCGGAAUAACAGUUGGAAACGACGGCUAAUACCGGAUGAUGACGAAAGUCCAAAGAUUUAUCGCCAGAGGAUGAGCCCGCGUAGGAUUAGCUAGUUGGUGUGGUAAAGGCGCACCAAGGCGACGAUCCUAGCUGGUCUGGGAGGAUGAUCAGCCACACUGGGACUGAGACACGGCCCAGACUCCUACGGGAGGCAGCAGUGGGGAAUAUUGGACAAUGGGCGAAAGCCUGAUCCAGCAAUGCCGCGUGAGUGAUGAAGGCCUUAGGGUUGUAAAGCUCUUUUACCCGGGAUGAUAAUGACAGUACCGGGAGAAUAAGCUCCGGCUAACUCCGUGCCAGCCGCCGCAGUAA